rnacentral:rRNA from 1 species
UACGAAGGGGGCUAUCGUUGUUCGGAAUUACUGGGCGUAAAGCGCGUGUAGGCGGGUCGUUAAGUCGGGGGUGAAAGCCCAGAGCUCAACUCUGGAACUGCCUUCGAUACUGGCGACCUGGACCCAAGGAGAGGCGAGUGGAAUUCCGAGUGUAGAGGUGAAAUUCGUAGAUAUUCGGAGGAACACCAGUGGCGAAGGCGACUCGCUGGACUUGUGGUGACGCUGAGACGCGAAAGCGUGGGGAGAAAACAGG